rnacentral:rRNA from 1 species
GACAGAGGAACCAAGCGUUGUCCGGAUUGACUGGGCGUAAAGCGCACGCAGGCGGAUGCGCGCGUGGGGUGUGAAAUCUGGCCGCUUAACGGCCAGGCGCCAUCCCAUACGGCGCGUCUGGAGUGAUGCAGAGGUCGAUGGAAUUGCCGGUGUAGUGGUGAAAUGCGUAGAGAUCGGCAGGAACACCCAGGGGGAAACCAGUCGACUGGGCAUCUACUGACGCUGAGGUGCGAGAGCGUGGGGAGCGAACCGG